GAACAACCAACUUCGUGCAUGGGUUUCCCUUUGUGUGCAUUUCUAUUGGCCUUACAAUUGGAAAGGUUCCCACUGUAGGAGUUGUUUACAACCCAAUCUUGAAUCAGCUUUUCACUGGCAUCCAUGGAAAAGGUGCUUUUCUUAAUGGAAACCCCAUAAAAGUAUCUUCCCAAACGGAGCUUGUGAACUCUCUUCUUGCAACAGAGGCUGGAACAAAACGUGAUAAGGCUACUGUGGAUGCUACUACAUACAGAAUUAAUAGUUUGCUUUUCAAGGUGAGAUCCGUUAGGAUGAGUGGCUCCUGUGCGCUUAAUCUU
rnacentral:misc_RNA from 1 species